UAUAGGUUUGGUCCCAGCCUUCCUGUUAACUUUCAAUAGACUUAUACAUGCAAGCAUCCACGCCCCGGUGAGUAACGCCCUUCGAAUCACACAGGACUAAAAGGAGCAGGUAUCAAGCACACACUCUUGUAGCUCACAACGCCUUGCUUAACCACACCCCCACGGGAGACAGCAGUAACAAAAAUUAAGCCAUAAACGAAAGUUUGACUAAGCCAUAUUGACUAGGGUUGGUAAAUCUCGUGCCAGCCACCGCGGUCAUACGAUUGACCCAAGCUAACAGGAGUACGGCGUAAAGCGUGUUAAAGCAUCAUACUAAAUAGAGUUAAAUUUUUUUUAAACUGUAAAAAGCCAUCAUUAUAACAAAAAUAAAUGACGAAAUGUAACCCUACAAUAGCUGAUACACCAUAGCUAAGACCCUAACUGGGAUUAGAUACCCCACUAUGCUUAGCCCUAAACACAAAUAAUUAU
rnacentral:rRNA from 1 species